UGGAGAGCACUCGCUCGCUAUCACGAGAACAGCAAGGAGGAGCUCUGCCUCCAUGAUCCAAUCACCUCCCACCAGGCUCCUUCACCAACGUUGGGGAUUACAAUUCAACAGGAGAUCUGGGCAGGGACACAAACCCAAACUAUGUCACCUGGGCACGGGGCAGCAGCUUGGAUCUCCCAGGAGUGGACCCUGAGACAGGAAGGCCCGUGCUGGAGCUCCCAAUACGUGUUAUGUCUUCAGCAUUCCCAGCCAGGCUAUACACAGCUGGUACCCUUCAGUGAAGAUGACCCCAGCCCAGGCGUAAAUCCUUAUCACUCUCAGCCAAGUGUGGUGCAACAGUCCAUAAUUAGUUUGCUCAAAGGCAUGGAGAGUAACUCUGGCCCAGAGGAUGUCUGCUAGGCGGUGAUUAGAAAGGUCUCCUCACUCUGGACGCCACCUCCAGUAGGACAGAUUGGUUUCCAGCAGGCACAGUCUCCCACCGAUGAUCAAAGAACCAGAUAAAUCACAAAACCAUAUUUUUUGAGACAAUAGGGAGCUGGAGAAGCAAUGAGAACAAGAUAAACUAAAAUUCCAGAGUCAAGAGACCGUUCAGAGCUGACCUGAAAAUCCGCAGCCCCUUUGCUCUGAGGCAGUUGCUGACUUGAGGCUGGCUGAGAAUGUGGCUCUGCACAAGGCAGAGGCUGCUGCUAAGGACAGAGAAAAAGGCAACACUUUUGGUGGCUAUGCAGGCCCAAGCAACCGAAUUGGAGAGUCAAAAGGCCUCAAACGUAUGGUUGGUGUUCGCCAUCAUCCUGAAGCAGCUGGAUUGAUAGAACAGUGGAAUGGGUGACAACUAGGUGAUAAUACUUUGCUGGGGCAAAGUUCUCCAGAACACUAUGCAUGCUCUGAAUCAGCCUCCAGUAUAUGACACUGUUUCUCCCAUAGCCAGGAUUCACGGGUCUAGAAAUCAAGGGGUGGAAGUGGCACCACUCACCAUCACCCCUAAUGAUCCACUAGCAAAAUUUUUGCUUCCUGUUCCCACAACAUUACAUCCUGCUGGCCUAGAGGUCUUAGUUCCAGAGGGAGGAACGCUGCCACCAGGAGACACAACAACGAUUCCAUUACACUGGAAGUUAAGAUUGCCACCUGGACACUUUGAGCCCCUCCUACAUUUAAGUCAACAGGCUAAGAAGGGAGUUACAGUGUUGGCUGGGGUGACUGACCCAGACUAUCAAGAUGAAAUCAGUCUACUACUCCACACUGGAGGUAAGGAAGAGUAUGUAUAGAAUACAGGAGAUCCAUUAGGGCAUCUCUUAGUAUUACCAUGCCCUGUGAUUAAGGUCAAUGGGCAACUACAACAGCCCAAACCAGGCAGGACUACAAGUGGUCCAGACCCUUCAGGAAUGAAGGUUUGGGUCACUCCACCAGGAAAAAAACCACUACCUGCUGAGGUGCUUGCUGAAGGCAAAGGGAAUACAAAAUGGGCAGUAGAAGAAGGUGGUCAUCAAUACCAGCUACGACCACGUGACCAGCUGCAGAAACGAGGACUGUAAUCGUCAGGAGUAUUUCCUGCUUAUUUUGUUAAAAACAUAUUUGUGCAUGUAUACACUUGUACUAAGCAGAUAUCUUCAUUUUAUUUCCUUUUUCCUUUAUCAUGUGACAUAAGAUUCAUUGGCUUCAUAUCGGCAUUUAAGUAUCGUUAAGUUUAUGUAAUAGUAUUUGCGUUGGGGAUGGGUGCACUUCCGGUUGUACGAUGGAUAGUUGUAUUAUGUUAGGCGUAAUUAUGACUUUAUUAUUGUCUUUAUUUGAAGAUUACGUAUGAUCUCAGAUGUGUAUGGGUUCAAGUUGACAAAGGGUGGACUUGUGAUGGUUAAUAUUGAGUGUCAACUUGAUUGGAUUGAAGGAUGCAAAGCACUGAUCCUGGGUGUGUCUGUGAGAAAAACAUGAAGAGACUGAACGGGCCUAGCCCGCCAGCCUGCAUCUUUCUCCCGUGCUGGAUGCUUCCUGCCCUCCAACAUCAGACUCCAGGUUCUUCAGCUGUGGGACUGGGACUGGCUUCCUUGCUCCUCAGCUUGCAGACAGCUUAUUUUGGGACCCUGUGAUCGUGUGAGUUAAUACUACUUAAUAAACCCUCCUUUAGAUAGAUAGGUAGGUAAAUAGAUAGAUAGAUAGAUAGAUAGAUAGAUAGAUAGAUAGAUAGAUCCUAUUAGUUCUGUCCUCUAGAGAACCCUAACUAAUACAGUUGGUUUCAUAUAAAUCUUAGAAUCUGGCUGUCAAUUUCCACACAUGAAAACUAAAACCACAAAAUAAGUGCCACUACCCACCCAGCAACAUAGCUAGAACCGAAAAGGCCGACUAUAGCAAGCAUUGGCAAGGUUGUGGAGCAACUAGAGCUCGUUUACAAAACUCGUGGAAAUAGGAAUCGGUACAACCACUUUGGAAAAGUGUUUGGCAAUGCCUAUUAAAGCUAAGCACAUACGUGUCCCACUCCGGGUAUUUGCCCGGUAGAAAUGAGGGCUUAUGUCCACCAAAACAUAUGCGGAGAACGCUCAGAGCAGCAUUCUUCUAAAAGCCAAAACAACACAGCCAAAUGCCCCCAGCAGGGGAGCGCCGCAGGAGGCUAACGACGCCAGCAUUUUCACACACCAACGCUGCACCCAGCAAAGCAGCUGACAGCGAGGGGACUCCCGGCACACACAGCAGCGUGGACGAACUCAGACGCAUAUUGUUCAAUAAAAGAGGCCAGACUCCAUACUGCGGGAUUCCAUUUAUACAAUGUUUUAAAACAGACAAAAAGGUAGCCUGUGGGGUUUCUGGAAUGUCCCAUAUCUCAGUACGUGUGGCUCUGACACGUUAUUUUAUAUGUGUGUGUCACAUAUGUAUGUCACGCAGAUGACAUCAUUUUGUCAAGGUGUGCGUUCCAGAGUUGCACAUUUAAGCUCUAUCUUAGUCCAUAUGUGCUGCUGUAACAGUACCUGAGACUGGGUCAUUUACAACACAAAGAAAUUGAUUGGCUCACUGUUCUGGAAGCUGGAAGUCUGAGGUCAAGGUGACGACAGUUUCGGUGUCCAGUGAGGCUAUUUACAUCAUCUAAGACGACACCUUGUAUGCUGUGUCCUCCAGAGGAGAGGAAGGUGAGACCCUCACAUGGCAGAAGGCAGAAAGGCCAAGAAGGGCCUUUUACAACAAAACGGCCUCCUCAGUCCUUUUACAACAGCACUAAACUCACCCAGGAGGAUGUCCCCCUGACAGUCUACUCACCCUGCAGGCCCCACCUCCUAACACCAUCACCUCGGCAAUUAAACUCCAACAUGAGCUUUGGAGGGGACAAACCUCCAAACCACGCCUGGCUAAUUUUUGCAUUUUUAGUAGAGAGGGGCUUUCACCACGUUGGCUAGGCUCUAUAUAAAUUAUACCUCAAUUCUUCCAAUGAAACAAACAAGGAGAUUUGUGCAGGAAUGUUCAUAGCAGCACUAUUUUAAACAGCCAAAAUCUAGAACUCCCCAAAGCUCUUCCACUGUGGCAUUGAUAGGUACCUUUGGCGUGGUUGCGUGCGCACUGCCACAUAGCACGGAAAGAACCAGACAACCCGAUCCUCAGCAGUGCCGACAGACCUCGGGGCCUCCAGAAGACACCAGCAGAGACAAGCGCCUGCUAGAGGUUCCAAGCGCAGAUGGUGGCCGGUUUACGACGGCUCGACUUAAUGAUUUUUUGACUUUACAAUAGGCUUCUCUGGGUAUUAAAUGCAUUUUCGACUGUGAAAGUUGUCAGAAUCAAAAUGAAGUCAUGAAUGUUAAGAAAAUAACAUUACCUGACAGACAGAGCCAGGGAAGGCCAUAAAGAGUGGAUUCUCAGGCUUGUAUCCCCAACAGCAAAAAAGACUCUGCAAAAAACAUAACCUCGCACAAAAGCCAUCCCAGCCUCACACAGAAAAUGCUUCUGCAAGGACAUCUGCCCAGCGGCUGCCAUCUAACCUCAGCAUUACUCUUGUUAUUGAUCUUUGUGGCCAAGGAUAAUUGUCUCCAAACAAUUGUGUGAUCCUCCUCAUUUUUUUCUUUAAACGUCUUUGUCUUCCUUCACCUCCCUGAACACACAGAGGCUACCACAACAUGGGUGUUUCCAUUGCAACGCUCUAUCCUGAAAUAAACAUCUUUUCUUGCAAACAAA